rnacentral:rRNA from 1 species
AUGGACGUAGAAGGAGGAGGAGGAGGAGGAGGGUCCCGAGCGGCGAAACGACGGGGAAGGAGGAGGAUCCCGAGCGACGACCGGGGCUUCACGUCGGCGGUGAGGCCCUGCGACGAAGGGCGCGGCAUAGCGGCCGGGAACAGGCCGCAGAGGAACAGGAGGACGGCGCCGGACACCUACCGCGAGCCCAGCUCCGACGAUGAGGAUGGUGAGGAACCUGUGAAUAAUCGAGUUGUUCAGCCACUGAACAAACCCAAGAGAAGUGAUGCGGGGAAAAAGAGGGGGCCCAGAAAUAAGAAAUCAGAUCAAGAUGGCAGCAAGGUCCACUCCCCGGAUGGGCAAAACCAUGGUGGAGACAAUUCGACUAGUGAUGAUGAUGAUUUCAAGCCUGCAAAGAAACGGCGAAGAAGAGAUGAAGCAAAGUGGAAGGGUUCCACCGCAAAAAGGUUGAAGGAAGAGGAAGAAGAAUAUAAGGUCACAUCCUCCAAGAAUAAAGUUUCUCAUGAAAGAUAUAAUAAGAAUGGGAAGAAGAUGUUGACCGGGGAAAAUGCUCGAAUGUGCCACCAGUGCCAGAGAAAUGACAAGAAGAAGGUGGUCUGGUGUAAGUCAUGCAAUAACAAGCGAUACUGUGGGAAAUGCAUCAAGAGAUGGUAUCCCAAUUUGACAGAAGAUGAAUUAGCUGCAAAAUGUCCGUACUGUCGCAAGAACUGUAAUUGCAAGGCAUGCUUACGAAUGAUAGGGGUUGAAGAGCCUCAACAAAAGGAAAUUUCUGAAGAAAAUCAAAUUAGUUAUGCAUGCCAUAUCAUGCGCUUGUUGCUUCCUUGGCUAGGAGAGCUGCAAAAGGAGCAGAUGGAAGAGAAGAAAUUAGAGGCUCGUAUACUAGGAGUUUCGAUGGAUGAAAUGAAGUUGGAACAGAUCAAGUGUGGUCCUGCUGAGCGUAUCUAUUGUAACAGGUGUAGAACUUCUAUAUUCGAUUUUCAUAGAAGCUGCAAGCAUUGUCUCUAUGACCUGUGCCUCAUCUGCUGCCGGGAGCUUCGCAAUGGUGAGAUCCCCGGAGGAGAAGAGGUGGAGAAUGUGCAGUAUGAGAACAGAGGAGAGGACUAUAUUUUCGGCAAUAAUUUUCAUUCAAAUGGUGAGAAUCAAAGGGACUCUUUGAGGAGGAAGAUGGACUCCCCUACUGGUGGUAGCAAAUCUUGCUCUCUGCUACUAUGGAGUGCAAAUAGUGAUGGUGGCAUACCUUGCCCACCAAAGGAAAUGGGGGGCUGUGGUGGUUCUGACUUGGACCUCAAAUGCAUGUUUCCGGAGAAAAUGCAUGCUGACUUACAAGAGAGAGCUGACAAACUUGUGAGGAGUGAAAUAUUUGAAAAAACAACAUUUAGUAGAAGUGACCAGUGUCCUUGUUUUGAUCAUUCGGGCACGGUAAGAACUGACAUAAAGACAGUACGGAAGGCUGCAGAUAGGAAGGGCUCAAGUGAUAACUAUCUAUAUUGUCCAGUUGCCACUGGUCUCGGUGAUGAUGACCUAAUUCACUUCCAGAUGCAUUGGGCAAAGGGUGAGCCAGUUGUUGUCUCUGAUGUUCUUCAAUCAACCUCUGGUGUUAGUUGGGCACCGAUGGUUAUGUGGCGGGCAUUGCGUGAAAGAGCCAAGGGCAAGGCAGAAGAUGAGAAGUUUGAUGUGAGGGUAGUAGAUUGCCUUGAUUGGUGUGAGGGGUCACUUAAAAUCAGCGAUUUCUUUAAGGGAUAUAAAAAUGGCAGAAGUCAUCGCGGGCCUCACUGGCCUGAGAUGCUUAAGUUGAAGGACUGGCCUCCUUCUAGUACGUUUGACAAGAGAUUGCCUCGCCAUUGUGCUGAAUUUAUCAGCGCGUUGCCAUUUCCUGAGUACACCGAUCCAAGAUCUGGUCCACUAAAUCUUUCGGUUAAGCUUCCUGCUGGUGUCAUGAAACCAGAUCUUGGGCCGAAAAGUUACAUUGCUUAUGGAUUUUCCGAAGAGUUAGGCCGGGGUGACUCAGUGACCAAGCUUCAUUGUGACGUUUCUGAUGCGGUAAAUAUCCAAACACACACUGACGAAGUGCCAUGUGAGACAUAUGAUCUUUGUCGGAUUAAAAAAGUCCAGGAAAACAUGAGAAAGCAAGAUCUUCAGGAACUGCGUGGGGAUUUGAAUUCAUGCACUGAGCUUAGGGCACAGCCCUCUGUUGAUGGAUCUUACGAAGCCGCGAUGACUUCAUGUAGUAUGGAAAGUUAUAAAAAUAGUUCUAAUGGUUUGCACAUAAAUGCUCCACGUCGCGAUGCUACAGAUGACGUUAAUGAUAAAGUGUCACCUCAUAAAUCUGUUACCAAAUCCGAUGAGAUCCGCAACGGAACUCGUUUGUACUAUCAACGUCGCGCUAACAGAAAGGUGCAUCAAGAUAAAGCCAGUGAUCCUCCUAUUCCUGGUAAAUCUGAUGAGAUUGGCAAAGGAAUUCGUAGAAAGGUGCAUCGAAAUAAAGCUAUUGAUCCUCCCAAGCCAGUUCCUGAGAAGACAGAGAAAGAUAAAACUGGUGGUGCUUUGUGGGAUAUAUUCCGAAGAGAGGAUUCAGAGAAAUUACAAAAAUAUCUACGGAACCAUGCCUCGGAGUUUCGCCACAUCCACUGCAAUCCUGUGAAUCAGGUUAUCCACCCAAUUCAUGAUCAGACAUUCUAUCUGACAGAAAAACAUAAGAAGAAGCUCAAGAAAGAAUAUGGUGUUGAGCCAUGGACAUUUGAGCAGAAGCUUGGGGACGCAGUUCUCAUUCCUGCCGGGUGUCCUCACCAAGUCAGGAAUUUGAAGUCUUGCACCAAGGUUGCGAUGGACUUUGUUUCCCCCGAAAAUGUGGGUGAGUGUGUUAAGCUGACGGACGAGUUCAGGGCACUUCCAUCUUCCCACAAGGCUAAAGAAGAUAAGCUUGAGAUCAAGAAGAUGGCUUUGUAUGCGUUUCUCGAUGUUCUCGAAUUCUUGGGACGUCACGUGGAAGGGUCAAAGAGCGGGGAUGCGCAGCCCAACCAGUCCAGCGAUGGUACUGCAGAGGAAAAGCCUAAAAGAAGGGGUACCCGCGCAAGAGGUGGCUCAGGGUCUCGGAGGUGA